UACGGAGGGCGCAAGCGUUGUUCGGAAUCACUGGGCGUAAAGCGCGUGUAGGCGGCUUUGCAAGUCGGGUGUGAAAUCCCGAGGCUCAACCUCGGAACUGCGCUCGAUACUGCUUGGCUCGAGUCCCGGAGAGGGUGGCGGAAUUCCCGGUGUAGGGGUGAAAUCCGUAGAUAUCGGGAGGAACACCAGUGGCGAAGGCGGCCACCUGGACGGUGACUGACGCUGAGACGCGACAGCGUGGGGAGCAAACAGG
rnacentral:rRNA from 1 species